GGGGGUAUAGAUUAGUGGUAGAGCAUUCGACUGCAGAUCGAGAGGUCUCCGUUUCAAAGCUGAGUUCCCCUU